UCAAUCGUCAUGCCUGAUGCAAUAUUACAUGUUUUUAAAAUUAGACAUUCAGGUGUGUUCUGUUUACUUAUCCAAUUACAGAUGGUUUAGGAGAAGAGACAUCACAAGGGAGAACAUCCUCUAUGCCAUCUGCUGAGAAGCCUUCAGGCACAGCAAAAGAUAUGACUACCUUAACAACCCUCACCCCACCUCACGGAUGCAGAAAACCUCAAUCUCCUGUUGAAUUACCUGGGACCUCUUCUGGAAAGGGAACGGAGAUUAUUGCACCACCAACUGAAAAACCCCCAGAACCACAAGAUGAUUAUCCUGAAAAGGACCAUCCUCAGAGAAAUCAAAAACGGCCCUGGUCUCCUACAGAAAUUGCAGCGGUGUUGAAACAUUUUCAGAAACACAUUGACACUGGGAAGCUGGCAAGUUUUGUUGAAAUUCAACAGUGUCAACAGGCAGAACAUCCUGCUUUAAUA